UCAUUUUUUGCUCAGUUGAUUAGAGUGCUGCACCGGAAUUGCAGGGCCAUAGGUUCAAUUCCUACCAGAGGAC